AAAAGCCCUUUCACUUUACCAUAUAGAAUUCUGUGUCUAUAAUGGCCAUUCAGGAGGGCUAUAUGAAACUCUUCUUAAAACCCAAGCAAAUACUGCAUAUAUUUGACUUGUGUCCUGUCAGAGGAAACAUUU